rnacentral:hammerhead_ribozyme from 1 species
GAACUGUUGAGGAGUCCCAAAAUAGGACGAAACGGCCGUCCAGUGU